ensembl:Y_RNA Y_RNA Y RNA
UGCUGGUCUGAGUGCAGUGGUGUCUACAACUAACUGAUCACAACCAGUUACAGAUUUCCUUCUUCCUCCUCCACUCCCACUGCUUCACCUGACUGGCUGAA